UGGCUACCACCUGUAAUCUCAGCAGUUUGGGAGACCAAAGCAGGACGAUUGCUUGAUCCCAGGAGUUUAAGACCAGCCUGGGCAACAUAGUGAGACCUCAUCCCUACAAAAAAAAAAAAUCCUUUAAUUAGCUGGGCAUGGUAGCAUCCAUCUGUAGCCCCAGCUACUUGGGAGGCUGAGGCAGGAGGACUGGUUGAGCCUAGGAGGUUGAGCCUCCAGUAAGCCAUGACUGCACCACUGCACUCCAGCCUGGGUGACAGAGCAAGACCCUGUCUUAAAAAAGAAAAGUUUAUUAACGUGAAUAUCAGUUAGAAAUCUAGUUGUUCAUUGCAAAACUAAACCAGAUUAUAGCAGAAAUAAGCACUUGGAGGGAAAUGUUACAUUUUCACUGCAGGCCUUGAAUCCUUAGCCACCAGCUCCGUGUCCUUCAGUGUUCUGUGGUUCCUGGUUCCAGAGAGAUCACCUGCUCCAAUGUAACGAGUGAAGAGUUCUUUAGGAUGAUAUUGAUGAUGAAAUGUCUUACGAUGAUCAUUUAGAGGUUUAUUUUGAACAACUGGCAAUUCCACGAAUGAUGGAAUAAAACAUAUGAAGUAGAAGGACUGGAACCUCCAGAAAAAGUACUUUAAGUUACCUACAGGUGAUCCUAGUCAGGUAUGAAUUGAUAAGAAAUGCCUGCACCUUCCCUCCUUCCUAUCUUUCCCUUGCCUACAGAAAAUUAAAAGGCAAAACAAUGGACAUCUACAUAUUCUUCAUUCAGAUCAACCAGUGGCUAGCAUUUGCCACCUUUUGCAGUUUCUUUCUCUUUCCAUAAGUACUUUCUUCUCUGAAUCAUUUGAAAGCAAAUGAAAACAGUAGCCUAAAGUGUCAGUUUCAACCAGAAAAUAACAGCUCUGAUUUCUCAUGGCUCACACUCUUCUGAAACGACUCGGGUAGAGGCUGAGGAAGGCCGUGUUGUUUGUCUACCUGGGACUAGUAAGAACUCCAGCGCAUCUCAGACCACCAGAGCUCGGGCCACCAAGC
rnacentral:lncRNA from 1 species